CUCGCUUCUCGGCCUUUUGGCUAAGAUCAAGUGUAGUAUCAAUUUGGAAAUAGUUUGAUGUGGCCAUUACAUAUUGCCACAAAGAGGAAAUGUAUCACAGUUUUGCAUUAACUAUGCUCCCU
ensembl:snRNA U2 U2 spliceosomal RNA